AAGUGUUAUUUUAACACUUUUAUAGUGGUUCCCAUAUAAACACUGAGGGAGUGUUAAUUUGAACUCUAAGGUAGUUAAAUCUACAAUCUAAAAUUUGCAGUGUGUAUAACCCUUUAUUAUUGUCUUUAAUUGUUUAUGUACCAUAGCAUAAUCAAUGAAACACAACAUCAAAACACUGUGCUGAUGAGAUUGUCUUCUUGCUGCUUUGACACUGACUUUUGCCUAUCUUGUGUUUUUUUUUUGUCCUUCUUUAGCAGUUGAGGACAAAGGCGGUCUGCCGAAGAAACCACUCAGCUCCUCUGAAAGACAAGGAGCCGGGGAAGCAAAGAGAAGAAAACGUUCCUGUGCAGAUCUUUCACAGAAGCCACACUCAGACUCUCCACUGUCUGCUGCUCCUGCAUCGACUUCUUUAUUGGAGGCUCCUGCAUCAGCCUCAUCAGUUCCUGGCCAGUCUUCUUCAUCGGCUCCUGCAUCAGCCUCAUCAGUUCCUUGCCAGUGUUCUUCAUCGGUCCUGCAUCAGCCUCGUCAGUUUUUGCUUCUGCUUCUUCAUCGGCUUCUGUAUCAGCCUCGUCAGCUCCUGCCUUGGCUUCUUCAUCAGCUCCUGUAUCAGCCUCAUCAGUUCCUGCCUUGGCUUCUUCAUCGGCUCCUGUAUCGGCCUCAUCAGUUCCUGCCUUGGCUUCUUCAUCGGCUCCUGUAUCGGCCUCAUCAGUUCCUGCCUUGUCUUCUUCAUCAGCUCCUGAAAAAUCGCAAAAAAUUAAAAAUUUUUGAAAAAUCGCAAAAAAUGAAAAUUUUUUGAAAAAUCGCAAAAAAUGAUUUUUUUUUUGAAAAAUCACAAA